GGUUUAGUGGUGUAGUGGUUAUCACGUCAGUCUCACAUCUACAUUCUGUAAUGUGCACUGAAGGUCCCCAGUUCGAUCCUGGGCUGAAUCA